rnacentral:rRNA from 1 species
GAUGAACGCUGCCAGCAUGCUUAACACAUGCAAGUCAACUGUGGCGGACGGGUGAGUAACGCGUAAAGAACUUGCCUCACAGUUAGGGACAACAUUUGGAAACGAAUGCUAAUACCUGAUACUGUGAGAGAGCUUUGCGUCCCAUUAGCUCGUUGGAGAGGUAACGGCUCACCAAGGCGAUGAUGGGUAGCCGGCCUGAGAGGGUGAUCGGCCACAAGGGGACUGAGACACGGCCCUUACUCCUACGGGAGGCAGAAGUGGGGAAUAGUGAACAAAGGACCAAAGUAUGAUCCAGCAAUUCUGUGUGAACGAUGAAGUUUUCGGAAUGUAAAGUGAUUUCAGUUGGGAAGCGGUACCGACAGAAGAAGGGACGGCUAAAUACGUGCCAGCAGCCGCGGUAAUUC